rnacentral:rRNA from 1 species
UACGAAGGGGGCUAGCGUUGUUCGGAUUUACUGGGCGUAAAGGGCGCGUAGGCGGCGCACCAAGUCAGGCGUGAAGGCCCUGGGCUCAACCCGGGAAUUGCGCUUGAGACUGGUGUGCUCGAGUACGGGAGAGGAUAGUGGAAUUCCCAGUGUAGAGGUGAAAUUCGUAGAUAUUGGGAAGAACACCGGUGGCGAAGGCGGCUAUCUGGACCGUAACUGACGCUGAGGCGCGAAAGCGUGGGGAGCAAACAGG